UACGUAGGCGGCCAUAUAAGUCAGAAGUGAAAGGCUACGGCUUAACCGUGGUAAGCUUUUGAAACUGUAUGGCUUGAGUGCAGGAGAGGAAAGCGGAAUUCCUGGUGUAGCGGUGAAAUGCGUAGAUAUCAGGAAGAACACCAGUAGCGAAGGCGGCUUUCUGGACUGAAACUGACGCUGAGGUACGAAAGCGUGGGGAGCGAACA
rnacentral:rRNA from 1 species